rnacentral:snRNA from 1 species
CCGGUGCGCCCCCGGCGGCCCU